AGUGAACGCUGGCGGUAGGCCUAACACAUGCAAGUCGAACGGCAGCACAGUAAGAGCUUGCUCUUACGGGUGGCGAGUGGCGGACGGGUGAGGAAUACAUCGGAAUCUACUUUUUCGUGGGGGAUAACGUAGGGAAACUUACGCUAAUACCGCAUACGACCUACGGGUGAAAGCAGGGGAUCUUCGGACCUUGCGCGAUUGAAUGAGCCGAUGUCGGAUUAGCUAGUUGGCGGGGUAAAGGCCCACCAAGGCGACGAUCCGUAGCUGGUCUGAGAGGAUGAUCAGCCAUACUGGAACUGAAACACGGUCCAGACUCCUACGGGAGGCAGCAGUGGGGAAUAUUGGAAAAUGGGAGCAAGCCUGAUCCAGCCAUACCGCGUGGGUGAAGAAGGCCUUCGGGUUGUAAAGCCCUUUUGUUGGGAAAGAAAAGCAGCAGGUUAAUACCCAGCUGUUCUGACGGUACCCAAAGAAUAAGCACCGGCUAACUUCGUG
rnacentral:rRNA from 1 species